GGAUGAAUCUUCCGCAAUGGGCGAAAGCCUGACGGAGCAAUGCCGCAUGUGGGAUGAAGCAGCUUCGCUGUGUAAACCACUGUCAGGGGGCAGGAACACUGACCGCCCCAGCCAGGAAGGACGCACCGGCUAAAACUCGUGCCAGCAGCCGCGGUAAUACGAGUGGUGCGAGCGUUAAUCGGAAUUAUUGGGCGUAAAGGGCGCGUAGGCGGCUUUGCAAGUGGCGGGUGAAAUCCCUCGGCUUAACCGAGGAACUGCCUGCCAGACUGCAUUGCUUGAGUCCGGGAGAGGUGAGUGGAAUUCCCAGUGUAGCGGUGAAAUGCGUAGAUAUU
rnacentral:rRNA from 1 species